UGCAGUCGAACGAUGAAGCCGCUUCGGUGGUGGAUUAGUGGCGAACGGGUGAGUAACACGUGGGCAAUCUGCCCUUCACUCUGGGACAAGCCCUGGAAACGGGGUCUAAUACCGGAUAAUACUCCUGCCUGCAUGGGUGGGGGUUGAAAGCUCCGGCGGUGAAGGAGGAGCCCGCGGCCUAUCAGCUUGUUGGUGGGGUAAUGCGCCUCACCAAGUGCGCACGAGCGGUGUAGACCGGCCGUGAGAGGGCGACCGGCCACACUGGGACUGAGACACGGCCCAGACUCCUACGGGAGGCAGCAGUGGGGAAUAUUGCACAAUGGGCGAAAGCCUGAUGCAGCGACGCCGCGUGAGGGAUGACGGCCUUCGGGUUGUAAACCUCUUUCAGCAGGGAAGAAGCGCAAGUGACGGUACCUGCAGAAGAAGCGCCGGCUAACUACGUGCCAGCAGCCGCGGUAAUACGUAGGGCGCAAGCUUUGUCCGGAAUUAUUGGGCGUAAAGAGCUCGAAGGCGGCUUGUCACGUCGGAUGUGAAAGCCCGGGGCUUAACCCCGGGUCUGCAUUCAAUACGGGCUAGCUAGAGUGUGGUAAGGAAGAUCGGAAUUCCUGGUGUAGCGGUGAAAUGCGCAGAUAUCAGGAGGAACACCGGU
rnacentral:rRNA from 1 species